AAUAAGCAAUCAGAUCAGGUUGGCAUUAUCAGAGAUAAACUUUGUUAACUUGGUUAAAGCAAGCUAUUUGGCUAUUGGUCUUUUUAGCUUUACUCUUACUGCUGUGCCUAAUAAAAUAUAUGCCCAUCUGAUGCUAUGAGUAGGUUAUAAAAGUUGGUGAAGCUACAUUUCGGGACAAGUUUUUGCUGCCUUUUCAUCUUCAAUUGUCACAUUUCUUAAGUGUAUGACAUUGGGCACCAUAUCCAGAAAAUGUGACAGGAUAUGAAAAAUACCAUAUGUAUCAUACCAACAGGAAAUUUUACAUCAUGGUUGAGGUCAACCCUUAAGGGUUCAGCUAUUUCUGGUUAGCCGUUCGAACUAAGGAGUGUAUGCGCUUUCAUGCUUUCUGAACAUAAAGAAGAACGCCACAGAACACAUGUAAUAUUUUAUUGUUUCAGAAUAUAUGUUCACUUCGAUUCUUCAUCUAAACUGUAUAUUGACCGUUAUGUCUCUUUUGCAUUUUGUUCACUUAGACUGACUACCUAAAUUGUUACCAUAAAGGAUACUAUACGUCUAUUGUGAAUGUCGUUGCUGGAUUAUUUGUUAAAUUUUACUCUUAAUCAGGAAGGUUGGUACUGAUCUCAUACAAUAUAAUCUCUACAUCAGUAAGAUACUGCCAAGUUACGUUGAUGAGUUCAGGUCAAAGCAACAGGGUAACGCAAGGCUGCAUUAUACAAAGCUCUCAUUUUGUAUUCUGUAUACUAACCUAGGAUCAGUUUUAGUUACUACUGUCAUAGAAUAGUUUCAGCAUAUAUUUAUUAUUAGUGUUAAGUUGCACUUGACAAUAUUGACCCACUGUUUGUGAAAUUAUGAUGCUCUCAUCUUCUUGGUGAUAUAUAUAAGCAAAUCUUAAUUGCUAUAGUUUUCUUAGCCUGCUAUUUCUACUAAGGAGUAGAGGUUACCUUCCAAUACUUCUGCUAUCUGGCUGGCAUGUUUUAAACGUUUUAACAGGUUUAGAGAAUAAUUACCUGGAUAAAAGGAAGGAAUAUAGUGGCAAGGUUACAAUCAAUUUCGUUUUUCAUGUUCGUAACAAUUCAGAAGUCUCUCUAAGAGAACAAUCCCUGUUAAAUUUAAUUUACUCGAUGUGUUUGCUCCUCUACGAAACUGGUUAAUUUCCGUUUAGUUUCUGCCUUUUGCUUUUCCUGAUUGUAUUUUGUUGUUUGUGCCUGGCAGCUGAACUAGAGGAGUUGAUUUUGGUCGAAGAGGUAGAGCACGAAGACCACACUGCAGAACUUGCACAACCAGGGUAAGUUCAUAUGACCAACAGUUCGUGGAAAAGAAAGGCACAAGAAAUAUUGUUUACCAUGGGGACCCCUUUUUGUGCAUACCAAGAAUUGUGUUAAUUGCACCGUCUAGAAGGUGGUCCUUCAUAUUACAAGGCCGACAAUAUCCAGUUUGUCUUUGCUAUGCAAUGACUAUUAAUAAAAGCCAAGGGCAGGCGCUUGAUCA